CCAAUGUUGACAUCUAGGCUAUUUGACCUCGUGUCAGAUUUGGCCUGGCUCUGUCUGUGUGGCGUAUGGGAGCUGAAUGACCCUAUGGGGACUUGAGGUAUAUUCCCUUUCCACCACAUUGGAGAGAAACUCUGUCCCCCUACCGAGAGCCCCCCGGCCUUAGUAGGGUGUGGGCGAGGCCCUGUAUAUUCCAUCAACUUCCUGUAGUCACUAUGUGACAAUGGCAGGGUAGAGAGACCAUGCAGGGCACAAAA